rnacentral:rRNA from 1 species
CGUUGACACAGGGAGGUAGUGACAAGAAAUAACAAUACGGGGCUUAAAGUCUUGUAAUUGGAAUGAUGGGAAUUUAAACCUCUUCCAGAGUAUCAAUUGGAGGGCAAGUCUGGUGCCAGCAGCCGCGGUAAUUCCAGCUCCAAUAGCGUAUAUUAAAAUUGUUGCAGUUAAAAAGCUCGUAGUUGAAUUUCUGCUGCAUUGCUUGUGUCCCUCUGGGGUCUGUGCAUGUGGCUUUUUUCGGACGGAGUUUCUUUGUCUGAAUGUUUACUUUGAGAAAAUUAGAGUGCUCAAAGCAGGCUUUCGCCUUGAAUAGUUUAGCAUGGAAUAAUAAAGUAGGACUUUGGUUCUAUUUUGUUGGUUUUAGGUACCAAAGUAAUGGUAAUAGGAACAGCUGGGCAUACAUU